UGCAUUUCCACACUGACUGCAGUCAAAGGGCUUCUCUUUGAGGAAAUUAUAUUGAGAAAUCCAGAUGUGCAGUUGUGCAAGAGCAAGCUGGUGUGGAUUUUUGAAUGGAUAUUCUGAAGACAACUAGGUGCAUGUCCCAGCAAAGCUUCGCAAAGAUGUCAGUAUUAAUUGUCACCAUCCUCCAGGGAGAAAGCAACAGCCCACAAUUGCCUGCAUUUUCUUUCCUCUUCAAAACCACUUCUGCUCCAAAGACCAUGAACCUGAACUGAAGAAACGACUCCUUCCUGCUGGUGUGAGAUAAUUCAGUCUCCAUGAUGUCUUAAUCCUGGGCCUCCCUUAAUUGACUUCUAACUGUGCUGAACUGUGGCUGCUAGGAGUUGCAAUGUGGAUCGCAAUUUACAAGGCACUGGAAUCGUUUCUUGUCUUCAAAUUAGUCCUGAGCUGUACCUGACAUUAGAAGGGAACCCGAGGAGCUACUUCCAAUGAGUGCUGCUCUCUGAUGAUGUCUUCAUUUUGCUUUUCUGCAGAAGAUGAGUGGUGCCUCCUUCUAUUCCCACACCUGCUUCCUGUGGAGUACAUAGAUUUUCAAUUCUGCCAUCCACUUUAUCUCAUUUAUUUAGAAAUGCCAUACUGUGAUCAUUCUUUUAUCUUAACUACUAUUUUUAUCCCCCACCUGCCCCCUCUCCCUACCAAGAUAAACACAUUGGCCACCAGCUGUACAUAAAAUCAAAACGCAAAUUCCUUUUUGAUUCCACCAAGGUUUGAGUUGCAGCUUUUUUGUGGUGUUAAAAUACUUUUCAAAAAUGUAAAUUUUUUUUUAAAAAAGAAAACUAAGUUACUGAGAUAAUUUGAUUUUGGCUCCUACCAUGUAACUUUAAGAUUUUAGUAUCUUUGUUGGUCCUAAAUUGACUAUGAGUUUUGCUCUGAUGAAAAUUACUUGUGCCAGAAAGCUCCAGUGGGUUGAAACAUUCUGCCACAGUAAUCCCUAUGGAUUAGAGCAUAUUGAAGCACAACCAUGGGAAAUAGAAUGCUUCUUUUAAACCACUGAGCCAACAAAUAAGGUCAUUUGAUGCUGAGAGACUGUGAUCAUCCAUGAAGGGGCUAGUUCACCAGAAACAUUAAGCUGGUUUGGGUGGGCUCAUCUGUUGGUUGGUGGUGAGAACACUGGGGUUUCUUUUUCCAUCAAUCCCCCUUUGCUUUUUUAUCCCUCAAAGUUACAAGAUAUAAGAUCACAAACUUACAAAAUAACAAAACAAGGUGGUUGUAUCCACACCUGAGCUAAAGCUAAGUCAACUUUUUGUACAGUCUGUUGCCUUUCAGCUUUCUGUAUAAAUGACUUAACAUGGCAAUGUAUUAGGCAUUCUAAAUGGCGAAAAUUCCAGGUGUUAUUUCUCAGUAACAAUUCAGAGAUAUUUACUUUAUAUUCCUCCAAAUAGUCUGAGAGGGAAAACUGAAUGGAAAGAAAACUGGAAAAACAAAACAAGUUGGAAUCAUGCCUGGCUUGUUUACUUUAGGAAAUCUCUUAACACUCAUUUUAAUCAAUUGAAAAGAGAUGGUUCAUCAGAUCAUAGAAUUUUAGAGCCGAAAGGAACCUUAGAGAUUACCUCAUCUGAUUCUCUCAUUUUAUGGAUGAGGAAACUGGGAUGCAGCGAGGGGGAAAGGCCUUCCUAGUGUUCCAUGGCUAAUUAGCAGCUGGGCAGACAACCCAGGUCUCCUAAUGCCCAGCCUGGAGGACUGCCUGAUUUUUAUACCCAUUUAAAGACAAUAUAUUUCCAAAUCAAAAAGGCUUACAAAAGUAACUUAGUGAGCACAGGAAGAAUAUAUUUUUCAAUUGAAUCAGAGCUUUCAAGUUUGUUUCAGAAUACUGCCUGUAUCGGAUAUUAAACUAUUUUGCAUAUAGUAGCUACUCAAAAAAUGUUGUCAAUUGAUAAAUCUAUUCAGAAAAUCUUAGUUUAUAAGAAUAAGGGGAACGAAACCACUACAGAAAUAAGUCUAACAUCACAUAAGGAAAAAAAUGCUUAUAUUUAAUAUUAAAUAAAAUAGGUCCCCAAAGAAAAUAAAAUCCCAAGGCAAGUUCAUGUGUCAUUUUCAAAAAUAAAAAGAAACCUAAAUGGUGGGGUAUUUGCAGACUCUCUAGGUCGCAUAUCAAAAAGGUGGACCAUACAAUGUAUUGCCCAAACUGGGACAUUUUUGAGAGUGAAAAUGGGCAUUAUAAAUAUUUUUGUUAAGGUGACAAGUAUAAACUGGGACUGUCCAGGGCAACUAGGACAUAUGGAUCAUCUUACAUAUGAAAACAAAUAAAAAGUUUGCAUUGAUUAUCUACCCUGUACUAGGGAAGGUCUUAGGGACUUCUAUACUUUACUGCUUCUUUUUUAUUACUUUUUAUUUUAAGUUUCAGGGUACAUGUGCAGGAUGCGCAGGUUUGUUACAUAGGUAAAUGUGUGCCACGGUGGUUUGCUGCACCUGUCAACCCAUCACCUAGGUAUUAAGCCCAGCAUGCAUCUUUUAGUGGUGGGGCAAGUAAAGUAUUUAAUAGCAUUUUAUGAUAAGAGGUUCAAUAUUAUAUUAAGAGGUAAAGAUGUGGGGUCUCAUAAUUUUCAUGUCCUACAAUGAACGAUCCAGACAUCUUUUCUGUUUACCUACAUAGAAAACAAUAAAGGCUUUUUGUAUGUCUCUCCUGCACUCUUCAUUCCCUGCCCUGCUGCAAUUUCUUAUGUAAGUCCCUCUUUCUAAACUUCUAUGAGUGGCAAAAUUUAAAUAGGAUUAUUCGGUAUUGAAUAUUUCUCUGAAAACAGUGAGGAAGGUUUCUUUGUCUUGACAAGAUAGGUUGCUGCUGAAUUUGCUUUUCUCACUUUUAGUUGGUCUUAUAAUGGGGUUGUUGAAAGCAAUGAACAGUUUAUAAAAAUACCCUUGGUGCUGUGAAAUAGGGACCAUUUCCAAAGUUUGUUCAAAAUCUGAUUACAUUAGCAAUUUCUCAAAUCCAUUGUACUAGCUUUGUAAUUUGCUUCCAUGACCCACGGAGUCUAUUGACUCAGCCAGUGAAUUUCGUUUUUAUUGUUUUUUUCUUAAAGGAAGAGAAAAAGACCGGUCUCUGUUUGGAAAUUACAAACAUAGAAGAACUUAGAAACAAUGGGUUUCUAGAUUGGGUGGAAGGACUGGCUUGGGAUCCUGAGAGAGCAAGAAAAGUUUACCGGGAGCUUCAGAAAAAGUUAUUCAUCAUUUUUGGAGUGGAUAUUCAGAAGUGACUUCCCUCUUUUGCUCUGGUAGGUAUGGAUAUGAGACCUCAGAAACCCCAGAACUCCUCAUUCUUUGCCUGACAGAAAAGCCCACACAUGGGAAAGACAGCCAUAAAGAUCAAAAGUAGAGCCCCUGGACUAAAUUAAGAAAGCAACUUGCUCAACCUUUCCACAUCUAGUUCCGUGAGCAAUCCAUUUCCUCAUGUCCAAAACAGCUUGACUGGGGGUUUCGGUUACUUACAGCCCAAAGCACACCAACUGGUAUGGUCAUCAGAAUUUAAGGCUUUUAAGUACUUAAAAUUCUGAUUUUAAGGA
rnacentral:lncRNA from 10 species